GCCAUUGUGGCUCAGUGGGUUGGAGCAUCCUCCUGUACACCAAAAGGUUGUGGGUUUGAUUCCCACCCAGAGCA
rnacentral:tRNA from 1 species